rnacentral:rRNA from 1 species
GUCUACGGCCAUGCUACCUUGAACAAGCCCAAUGUCUGAUCUCGGAAGCUAAGCAGGGUCGAGCCUGGUUAGUACUUGGAUGGGAGACCACCUAGGAAGACCAGGUGCUGUGUAGG